rnacentral:rRNA from 1 species
UACGGAGGGUGCAAGCGUUACUCGGAAUCACUGGGCGUAAAGCGCAUGCAGGCGGUCUAAUAAGUUGGAAGUGAAAUCCUAUGGCUCAACCAUAGAACUGCUUCCAAAACUGUUAGACUAGAGUCUGGGAGGGGAAGAUGGAAUUAGUAGUGUAGGGGUAAAAUCCGUAGAGAUUACUAGGAAUACCAAAAGCGAAGGCGAUCUUCUGGAACAGUACUGACGCUGAGAUGCGAAAGCGUGGGGAGCAAACAGGAUUAGAUACCCUGGUAGUCCACGCAGUAAACGAUGAAUGUUAGUCGUUGGUAUGCUAGACAUAUCAGUGAUGCAGUUAACACAUUAAACAUUCCGCCUGGGGAGUACGGUCGCAAGAUUAAAACUCAAAGGAAUAGACGGGGACCCGCACAAGUGGUGGAGCAUGUGGUUUAAUUCGAAGAUACGCGAAGAACCUUACCUAGCCUUGACAUACUACAGAAUUCGACAGAGAUGUUGAAGUGCCUUCGGGAGCUGUAAUACAGGUGCUGCACGGCUGUCGUCAGCUCGUGUCGUGAGAUGUUGGGUUAAGUCCCGCAACGAGCGCAACCCUCGUCACUAGUUACUAACGGUUAGGCCGAGGACUCUAGUGAGACUGCCUUCGUAAGGAGGAGGAAGGUGAGGACGACGUCAAGUCAUCAUGGCCCUUACGGCUAGGGCAACACACGUGCUACAAUGGUUAGGACAAUGAGAGGCGAUACCGCGAGGUGGAGCAAAUCUAUAAACCUAAUCUCAGUUCGGAUUGUAGUCUGCAACUCGACUACAUGAAGCUGGAAUCACUAGUAAUCGUAGAUCAGCUAUGCUACGGUGAAUACGUUCCCGGGUC